rnacentral:rRNA from 1 species
UGAGUGUCAUGAAAACCUCAACCCCUCGGGUUUUGUAACCGGGGUGGGUUUGGACUUGGGUGUCUGCUGGACUUUGGUCUGGCUCACCUCAAAUGAUAUAGUGGGACAGCGAACCCAUGGCUUGACGUAAUAAGUUUCGUCUGAGCCUGGUCGUGGUGCCUGCUUACAACAACCAUAUUUUAUGACUCUGACCUCAAAUCAGGUAGGGCUACCCGCUGAACUUAAGCAUAUCAAUAAGCGGAGGAAAAGAAACUAACAAGGAUUCCCCUAGUAACGGCGAGCGAACAGGGAAGAGCUCAAAUUUGUAAUCUGGCGUCCUUCGGGCGUCCGAGUUGUAAUCUAUAGAAGUGUUUUCCGUGCUGGACCAUGUCCAAGUCCCUUGGAACAGGGCAUCAGAGAGGGUGAUAAUCCCGUCCUUGACAUGACAACCAGUGCUCUGUGAUACACUUUCUACGAGUCGAGUUGUUUGGGAAUGCAGCUCAAAAUGGGUGGUGAGUUCCAUCUAAAGCUAAAUAUUGGCGAGAGACCGAUAGCGAACAAGUACCGUGAGGGAAAGAUGAAAAGCACUUUGGAAAGAGAGUUAAACAGUACGUGAAAUUGUUAAAAGGGAAACGAUUGAAGUCAGUCGUGUCCUUGGGGUUCAGCCAGUUCUGCUGGUGUAUUCCCCUUGGACGGGUCAACAUCAGUUUGGACCGGCGGAAAAUGGCGGGAGGAAUGUAGCAGCUCCGGUUGUGUUAUAGCCUCUUGUCGUAUACGUUGGUCUG